CAACCAGGAUUCUAAUGAAAACAACACACGGAAGACCUCAGGAUAAGCCCCAGUGUCUGCUGUAGAGUACAUAGCUCUGGUCUGAGUCCUAAAGCAAACACAGAUGCAUCUAAAACAACCAUCAAAGGAAAAAAAAAGUGAGGCAAGAAGGAAAGCCUGAUCCUCAAGGAGAAGAGAUUGGGCAGCAGAUAUGAUCAGCCUGCCAUCCAUCAACCAACUGAGGGAGACUAAGGAUUAGUGAUCAACCCACAGAUGGACAGUUGUUCCUUGAACCAUCAACAUUUUUCAUCUUUUGUGCAGCAAGAUGCUUUGGCAGAUCCCAGUUUUACCUCCCCAAGCAAAGGACGUGGGUGCAUGCUAAAGCAAGGGGUUGAAGCAGCCUGUCCUGUGGGGACAGGGAUGUGCUUACAGUCACAGCCAGGGUGACCUGGACAAUGCCCUGGAGAAUGAGGUGAAUCAAGAAAUUAGACUUCAAUACCGACAAAAUUAAUGGAGAAGGGAAUAUUUUUUAACCGUUCAUUCAUGACAACACAGUGCUUUUUAAUGGAUGGGUCUCCCCCUGAACACAGUUCCCAGGAAACAGCCAAAUGAACUCAGUGCUUGGAAAGAGAGGGGAGAACACUGAUGAACAUCUGAUCUCACAUAGGGACUGGCUAAAACUUUUUUCCAAUGGAGAAAACAAUGAACUGUAAAGAACAUAAAAUAAGCUGCAGAUGAUCAAAUCUGGAAUAUUUCACAUUAUAUGUAGGAGAAAAGGUUUGCUAAAGGAUUUAACCUUUCCUUAGUAUCCUGUCCUACCUACUUACUUUCUCUAUUUCCUUCGGAUUUCAUAAUCUUGAUAAUUUCCUAUUUUGGAUGCAAAGAAAGAAAUAAUAGUCACUUAGGGAAAACUGUAUCAAACAUGGGAGAGGAUUUUUUUCACUUCUGCUGCUUAAUAACUUUAGGAAUGUGGGUAAAACUAUUUCUUUCUCUACUUCUGUUGCAUUUUGACACAUGUAGAUUGCAGAGCUCCAUUCGCCCUGUUCCCCAGCAUCUUUUUAAACUGCAUGAACUUAAGGCAAGCUUUAUUUUGAGACACCCCCAAAACAGUGUUGUAUACUGACUGGCAUGGGAUUAGGUCAUGCUUUGAACAGCUCUUGAGACCCUCAAGCCAGAGUAAUACCACAAAUCUGAAGCAUCACCAGUCAGUUACCCUUCCUAAUCCUGCUGUGAGUGUGGGAUUUGGAAGACUUGCGCAGAAAAAACCUUUGAGCAUCCAAAAGCAGCAUGUAGGAAGGAAAGGAAGAGCAGGAACCCAUACAAAGGUAGAAAAGAGAAAAAGAAGCUGAUAUUUCUUAAAGACAACCAAAAAACCUUUCUUCAGAGGGUAUCCAAGAGAAAGGCACCCAAGGAGGCACUGGGCAGGAUAGGAGCAAGCCACAGACUGCCUCCUUUCUGUCAGAGGCAGCAGGGCCUGGAAGGAAAGGGAGCCCCUCAUAGCAUGCUUGGAAGUUAAACCCAUAGGAUUAAUUCCCACCCAUGUAAGAACCAGCUCCCUCUCUCUCCUUGCAUAACUGUAGGGAGUUUUUCUAUCAGAAAUACAUACUAAUCCUCAAUAUUGCUAGUCAAAGGAUGGUCUUAGAGUAAGGAAAGAGCUCAAAUUAAACUCGGCUCCCAGCCUAAGCCAAACCUUGGUGCAGAGGGACUGCAUCCACUGGAUGCCACUGCUCAGCCUAACUCCUGGGGACCACCCCCUGUAAUCUCCUCAGAGCAAACUCAAAGCUUUAUCCCUGUCCCACAUGGCUGUGGCCCACCAGCACCCACUGACGGCCCCAAAUGCUUCUCACAGACAAAAAGGGGAAGGCUCUUGCGUUCCCCUCCCCACAGAUCUUUAGUGGCAGUGGCAGAGUGGGAGCCACAGGGAAACAUUCAGUGUGUGCCUUCAAAGUGAAGUGUACAGUUGCUGGGUAAUUCAGUAACUCUUGGCCUGAUUCCUGACAAAUGUGAUCUGGCCAAGACCUUCCAUGGUGGUAACAAUAUGUUAAUGAAAGAAUUAUAUCAACAGCUCUCAGGUUGUCUCCUUUAUUUAUAGUAGAAUCUGGUAAUAGACACAAUUACAGUAGAUUAACUUUGGCAUAGCUUCAGCAUGAAAACAACAUACCAAGGCCAAAUUUUACUCCAAUAUAUCUAUUGCCCUGCCUGUGUUUCUAUUUAUUUUGCUUGGACUGACAAACUUUAAUUCAAAGAACAUAAUUACAGCAUAACUUGCUGCUAGGUUUUUUCAAGGCUAUAGUAUUCAUUUGAAGGGAAAGUAAGUUUACUUCUCAUUGAGUUUAACUAUGAAGGUUAAUUUUCUUUGAGUUAAAGGAGUUCGGUUUUUGACUUGAUUUCUAUGCAUUUGGGGCAACCAGCACAGCUGUGAAAACAUAAUUGUUCUUAAAAAUUUCGGGAUGCUCAUCCUCAUUUUCAAAAUUGCUCGCUCUUUUGUGUGCUUUCCUAAUUUCAGCUUGCUGAAGCGGCCGCUGAUUAGCAACCACAGGUGCAAUCCUUCUGGACUGUUCGCUACCUCCAGCUCGAGCAUUUCCAACCACAUUCUGCAUUGCAGAAAAUAGCCUAAUUAGAGGCAAAAAGCUGAUCUGUUAAAAUAGCAGAGGGACCAGCUAGAGAAGCAGGGAGUUAUUUGCCCCAUCAGAGUCAAGGGGAAAUUUACCCUUACAUCAGCAGGGAGAGGGAGCAGGGAGAUGCAGAGGACGUGCAGCUCUGUGGACCCACGGUGUCAGGAGUGAAAGAUUGGCAGUAAUCUGUUAUUUAUGAGCCAUUACUAUAACUAAUAAUUGUACAGCAGCAGCAUCCCCAGGACCUCACCCCUCUGCAGCCUUGGGACAGGACAGAGGCUUUUCUCUAUGAAUACACAGGGGUGAAUUGAUGCCCCCGUGCGGGUGUUGAGGCUUUGGGGGACACACCAGUGAGGCACAGGGCAGUGUCCAGAGCUGUGGCUGUAAUGAGCACAUAAAUCAUCCCUAACGACCCCUGAGCCAGCCAGCCUGUGUGGGGGACAGCGAGCUGGCCCAUGCCGCUGUGGCUGCUGGAGAAAGGCUUCGGGUUGCAAUGAGCACAAACGGCUCUUUCACACGUCUCAGCAGAUGUUACUCAUUUUCUCCUCAUCUGACUUUAAGAUUUGGCUCCAUUCUUUCCCUGUUCCCAAAGCCCAUCAGUUGUCCUAGAAACCUUUCCCGGCUCGUCCAUGGGCAGUGGGCUAUCCUGGUGUUCAGCAGGGGCCGGCCCAUCGGGCCGGCCCAUCUGCAGGCAUCCAACUCCUCCGAGUUCUCAUCCGGAUUGCUUCUGUCUUCCCUGCUGAACCUCGCCUCAUCCACUGGCCAUUUCCGCUGCUCCACUGCGCAUGGUGUUAUUCAUCAAGGUGCUUGUCCUCCUGCACAGCCACGAGCUCUCCAACAUACUUAAGGACAUUUGCAAAAUUUGGAUGGAGGAUAGGAAUAGCAAGUGGGACCAGAUGUUCACUGGGAAAGACUAACACUGCAUCUCUGUAACACAGUGUCCAAGGCUCACCCCUGGACCACAGGAGGAUGAAGAGCAGCCAGCAGGGACAGUGCAGCUGGUCCUGCAAUGGAGAUGCACAAGGGCAUCAUCUGCACAGCCCUGACAGCCACGCAGCUUUGCCUGAACAGUCAUCCAGUACUAAAGCCCACAAGGAAUUAUUCUCACACUUACAACCAGAUGCUGCAAUCAACCGCACUCAGAGAAUAGGGGGAAGGAUCCAACUCAUCUCUCAGUUUGGCUUUCCUCAGGCCAAGGACACUGGAGCCACUUCACACUCUGGGUGACACUGGCCAUGCUGGAGCAGCACCAAGGAUGCCAAAGAAGGAGCUGCCCACCUGUCUCCUACAGAAAGAGGGAGCUCACUGAGCCAGUUUGCUCUUACUUAGGGACUCCACCAGCAGCCAAACCCAUUUAGUCCUAUCCCUUCCUUGCUUAUUAAAUAUUUGACUAUUAACUCUCAA